rnacentral:rRNA from 1 species
GACCUGGCCGGGUGGUCCGCCUCACGGUGUGUACUGUCUGGCUGGGCCUUACCUCCUGGUGAACCGGCGUGCCCUUUAUUGGUGUGCGUCGAGGAACCGGGACGCGUACCUUGAGAAAAUUAGAGUGUUCAAAGCGGGGCCUUGCCCGAAUACAUUAGCAUGGAAUAAUGGAAUAGGACGUGCGGUUCUAUUUCGUUGGUUUCUAGAGUCGCCGUA